AGUUUGAUCUGGCUCAGGAUGAACGCUGGCGGCGUGCCUAAUACAUGCAAGUCGAGCGAGGUAGCUUGCUACCUAGCGGCGAACGGGUGAGUAACACGUAGGUAACCUGCCUUGAGACUGGGAUACCCGAGCGAAAGUUCGGCUAAUACCGGAUAACAACGGGGACGGCAUCGUCUCCGCUUGAAAGGUGCGUUUGCACCACUCUUAGAUGGACCUGCGGCACAUUAGCUAGUUGGUGAGAUAACAGCCCACCAAGGCAAGGAUGUGUAGCCGACCUGAGAGGGUGACCGGCCACAAUGGGACUGAGACACGGCCCAUACUCCUACGGGAGGCAGCAGUAGGGAGUUUUCGGCAAUGGGCGAAAGCCUGACCGAGCAACGCCGCGUGAGUGAUGAAGGUCUUCGGAUUGUAAAGCUCUGUUACGAGGGACGAAUUACCGGGUCAGGAAAUGGGCCCGGCUUGACGGUACCUCGCCAGAAAGUGACGGCUAACUACGUGCCAGCAGCCGC
rnacentral:rRNA from 1 species